CAUCAUGGCGGACGGGAGGCAGGACUACAUUGCAGCUCCCGACAGGGCAGCGUGCGGGGCUCGCAUUGUGACUUUUAGCUCCAGAUGGACUGCAGGAAGAAACCAGCAGUCCCGAGAGGACCCGCAGACCCUCUGAAGGAAGUGGGCUGCUCCUGCAGGACCCGGGAGACCCCCGCAAAAGUCUGAAUGCAACAGCCCCUGGUUUCCUGCUCUGUGAGGAAUGGCUAGACCACAUCUCCUGCUGGUGACAAGUGUCAGAAUGCAGCUGGAGAGCCUGGGGUGAGAACAUGAGCAGUCUAUAAUCAGAAAAUCCCUUUGGGAUAAAUUGACAAAAAUAUAAACCACUCCACAAAGGAGAAAUUGUAAAUG
rnacentral:lncRNA from 10 species